GAUGAACGCUGGCGGCGUGCCUAAUACAUGCAAGUCGAGCGAAUGGAUUAAGAGCUUGCUCUUAUGAAGUUAGCGGCGGACGGGUGAGUAACACGUGGGUAACCUGCCCGUAAGACUGGGAUAACUCCGGGAAACCGGGGCUAAUACCGGAUAACAUUUUGAACCGCAUGGUUCGAAAUUGAAAGGCGGCUUCGGCUGUCACUUAUGGAUGGACACGCGUCGCAUUAGCUAGUUGGUGAGGUAACGGCUCACCAAGGCAACGAUGCGUAGCCGACCUGAGACGUGGAUCGGCCACACGGGGACUGAGACACGGCCCAGACUCCUCCGGGAGGCAGCAGUAGGGAAUCUUCCGCAAUGGACGAAAGUCUGACGGAGCAACGCCGCGUGAGUGAUGAAGGCUUUCGGGUCGUAAAACUCUGUUGUUAGGGAAGAACAAGUGCUAGUUGAAUAAGCUGGCACCUUGACGGUACCUAACCAGAAAGCCACGGCUAACUACGUGCCAGCCGCCGCAGUAA
rnacentral:rRNA from 1 species